rnacentral:lncRNA from 1 species
GACGAGACAAGAAAAAAGUAAUUAAUGAUUAUCGACCGUCCUACCCUUAUAUGUAACUACAACAAGAAGAGUACAAAGACUUCAAUUUCUUACCGUUUUUACCUUUUUUAACAUUGGAGUGAAAAAGAAAGUUCAUAAAAAAAAAGGUACACAGUAAAAAGAGUUGCAUUUCACCUUUCCUCUUGUUUUCUUCUUCUCCUUUCCUCUUUGUCUGCGCUUCCUUCU